UACAGAGGUCCCAAGCGUUGUUCGGAUUCACUGGGCGUAAAGGGUGCGUAGGUGGUAGGGUAAGUCGGAUGUGAAAGCUCGGAGCUUAACUCCGAAAUUGCAUUGGAAACUACCCUGCUAGAGGGUCGGAGGGGGGACUGGAAUACUUGGUGUAGCAGUGAAAUGCGUAGAUAUCAAGUGGAACACCAGUGGCGAAGGCGAGUCCCUGGACGACUCCUGACACUGAGGCACGAAAGCUAGGGGAGCAAACAGG
rnacentral:rRNA from 1 species